CAGCUGACGACAGUAGCGUCGGGUCGAAGCACUAAUGGUGCAGAACAUUCAUCUUCAAUGUUGAUUGGUGUAGAGAAAUUUACCAAAGAUACGGUCGGCCACCAAGCCCCACAUCGACGCUCCAGGGCCGCCUAUGCUGUCCAUCGUUGGGAAUAUUCUGGAGUUUCUCGACAUGCCGUUGAUCCUCUGUAAGAUGUUCGACCUCCACCAGCAGUACGGCGACUUGUUGAGAAGAUGGUAUUCUGGCCAUGGAUGUAGAGCAAGUUCCUGCUGCAGCUGACCUCCAAAGGACGUGGUCUGUUCAUGUUCGUCAAAAUUAUGCAGAACUUGGCCAUGCAGUGCAUCGCCAUAAGGUCGGCAGCCACAGAGGACGGACUUACCAAACCACACCAGUGCCUGAUGGAAGCUCUGGUCAAUCCAGGCGGGCAGACUCCAAUGCCACUCGACGAGAUUCAGGGCAAGAAUAGGAAUGGGUUGCUUAAACUGAUGGCUGCAAAAAAAUAAAAAUAUGAAAAUCAGAAUCAUCAAUUAAAAGUGAUAAAAAU